UACGGGGGGAGCAAGCGUUGUUCGGAUUUACUGGGCGUAAAGGGCGCGUAGGCGGCGUGACAAGUCACUUGUGAAAUCUCCGGGCUUAACUCGGAACGGUCAAGUGAUACUGUCGUGCUAGAGUACAGAAGGGGCAACUGGAAUUCUCGGUGUAGCGGUGAAAUGCGUAGAUAUCGAGAGGAACACCUGCGGCGAAGGCGGGUUGCUGGGCUGAUACUGACGCUGAGGCGCGAAAGCUAGGGGGAGCGAACGGGG
rnacentral:rRNA from 1 species